rnacentral:rRNA from 1 species
UACGUAGGGGGCAAGCGUUGUCCGGAUUUAUUGGGCGUAAAGAGCGUGUAGGCGGCCAUGUAGGUCCGUUGUGAAAACUCGAGGCUCAACCUCGAGACGCCGAUGGAAACCAUGUGGCUAGAGUCCGGAAGAGGAGAGUGGAAUUCCUGGUGUAGCGGUGAAAUGCGCAGAUAUCAGGAAGAACACCCGUGGCUAAGGCGGCUCUCUAGUACGGAACUGACGCUGAGACGCGAAAGCGUGGGGAGCGAACAGG